ensembl:lncRNA
UUUUUUUUUUUUUUUUUUUAGUAGUAGAGACGGGGUUUCACCAUGUUGACCAGGCUAGUCUUGAACUCCUGACCUCAGGUGAUCCAUCCGCCUCGGCCUCCCAAAGUGGUGGAUUACAGGCAUGAGCCACCACGCCUGGCCAACCCCAGGUUUUUCAUGCUGCAAGAGACUCAGUGCUUCACCAUCUCUAGCUAAAUAAAUCAUGUUCCGAUCAUAAUGCAAAAAGUGUGUUGUCUGAAAAAAAGAGACCUAAAAACCUUUCUGCCCUUUGUGGUGACAGAAUUCCUGGUUCAACCUUAAAUGGCCUUAGUUCUUCUAUAGGAGUUAUGGUGACUUGCUUUGUUUUGAGUGUCAAACUUGAUUCCAGGCUUAGAUAUGACAGCAGAAUAAGUCCAUUAAAACUCGAGUAUAUGUGUGUUGCAAGAGCUGGAAUUGGUAUUUUGGGGCCUGGAAGAGCUGAAAGUCAAAUCAAAUGCCCAGGUCACUGAUUAUGUCACAUGCAUUGAACAUUGAGAAACAGUCCUGGGAAAGAUCUCAAUCCUUGUUUGGAAUGUCAUAAUUCCAUUUAGGGAAAAAUACACCAACCAGUUCCCAUGCAAACUUCUGCAAAGACACCAUUCACAGACAACGGAGACUUGGAGUUGAAAAUGGACACACUCAAUGAAACCCAGGAUUCCAGAUCUUUUUUGACUUGUCCGAGAAGCAAUGAAAAAUAAACAAUCACGGGAUAAUCUAAUAUUACACCAAAAUUAGCAGUAUCUUUUCCUUUCGGUCAACGUCAGACCAAAGCCGAGCAUCUCUUCUCCCUGUGGAAAAGUCAAAUAAUUGCAAAAACUCCUGGAGAUACCGGUUUCUUCUUACCCCAGGGCCUUUCACCAAUUUGGCUGGUCUUUUCAAAAGGCACAUGGAGAGUGAUAAUAUUCCGUAUGUAAGCGUGGCCAUAAUUAUGGCAGGGUGUGUGCAUAAUCACCCCAAAGCUAACAAUUUCCAUGGAGUAAAUGUGCUAAUAGCAAUGGAAGCAGACACCCUAGUAAUAGAAUUUUUAUUGGCUCUUUCCUUCACUCACUGUCUUCAUAGAAAAACAUCUGCCUAACAUUUAAAAACCACUAGAAGAGUGUAAGUGGAUUGUUUGUAACACGAAGGAUAAAUACUUGAGGGAAUAGACACCCCAUUCUCCACGAUGCGCUUAUUUCAUAUUGCAUGCCUGUAUCCAAACAGCUCUGGUGCACCAUCAAUAUAUACACCUACUGUAUACCCACAAAAAUUAAAAUUUAAAAAAUUUUAAAAAGAAAAACAUCUGCCUAAUCUCAGAGCACAGCUGCUGGUGAAACUUCUGCCUGCAGAAUUUUGGCCCUAUGGUCUUAUCUGUGAUCCUAUGACACCCACUCCCUACCACCAGCUGGUCGAGUCCUGUGGAAUCUACUCUAGGAAAACGGCUUCGAGAGAAUUUCCUUCUGGCUCCCGGCUCAGAGCCCUGGGGAGCUACAAGAUUCCUCCUCCCAUUUGGAGAGACCCUUGACAAAUCAUUUCUAUUAUUAUUAUUGUUAUUUUUAGAGACACGGUCUCACUGUGUCACCCAGGUUGGAGUGCAGUCAUGCGAUCAUAGCUCACGGCAGCCUCGAGCUCCUGGGCU